rnacentral:rRNA from 1 species
CCUACGGGCGGCAGCAGUGAGGAAUAUUGGUCAAUGGCCGGAAGGCUGAACCAGCCAUGCCGCGUGAAGGUCAGUGCCCUAUGGGCGUUAAACUUCUUCUGUGCGGGAGCAAUAAUGGUCACGUGUGGCCAGACGAGAGUACCGCACGAAUAAGCAUCGGCUAACUCCGUGCCAGCAGCCGCGGUAAUACGGGGGGUGGAAGCGUUAUCCGGGUUUAUGGGGUUUAAAGGGUGCGUAGGCUGUGAGUGAAGUCAGCGGUGAAAUGCCCCCGCUCAACGGGGUGAAGUGCCAUUGAUACUGCCUUGCUGGAAUGCGGAUGCCGUGGGAGGAAUGUGUGGUGUAGCGGUGAAAUGCAUAGAUAUCACACAGAACACCGAUUGCGAAGGCAUCUCACGAAUCCGCGAUUGACGCUGAUGCACGAAAGCGUGGGUAUCAAACAGGAUUAGAUACCCGUGUAGUC